rnacentral:rRNA from 1 species
UACGUAGGGACCAAGCGUUGUUCGGAUUUACUGGGCGUAAAGCGUGCGCAGGCGGCGCCGCAAGUCGAGUGUGAAAUCCCCGAGCUUAACUUGGGAAUUGCGCUCGAAACUACGGUGCUGGAGUGUGGCAGAGGGAGGUGGAAUUCCACGUGUAGCGGUAAAAUGCGUAGAGAUGUGGAGGAACACCGAUGGCGAAGGCAGCCUCCUGGGCCAACACUGACGCUCAUGCACGAAAGCGUGGGGAGCCAAAGGG